rnacentral:rRNA from 1 species
UACGUAGGGUGCAAGCGUUGUCCGGAAUUAUUGGGCGUAAAGAGCUUGUAGGCGGUUUGUCGCGUCUGCUGUGAAAUUUCGGGGCUCAACCCCGAACUUGCAGUGGGUACGGGCAGACUAGAGUGUGGUAGGGGAGACUGGAAUUCCUGGUGUAGCGGUGAAAUGCGCAGAUAUCAGGAGGAACACCGAUGGCGAAGGCAGGUCUCUGGGCCAGCUACUGACGCUGAGACGCGAAAGCGUGGGGAGCAAACAGG